rnacentral:rRNA from 1 species
AUGAACGCUGGCGGCGUGCCUAAUACAUGCCAGUCGAGCGAACAGACGAGGAGCUUGCUCCUCUGACGUUAGCGGCGGACGGGUGAGUAACACGUGGAUAACCUACCUAUAAGACUGGGAUAACUUCGGGAAACCGGAGCUAAUACCGGAUAAUAUAUUGAACCGCAUGGUUCAAUAGUGAAAGACGGUUUUGCUGUCACUUAUAGAUGGAUCCGCGCCGCAUUAGCUAGUUGGUAAGGUAACGGCUUACCAAGGCAACGAUGCGUAGCCGACCUGAGAGGGUGAUCGGCCACACUGGAACUGAGACACGGUCCAGACUCCUACGGAAGGCAGCAGUAGGGAAUCUUCCGCAAUGGGCGAAAGCCUGACGGAGCAACGCCGCGUGAGUGAUGAAGGUCUCCGGAUCGUAAAACUCUGUUAUUAGGGAAGAACAAAUGUGUAAGUAACUAUGCACGUCUUGACGGUACCUAAUCAGAAGGCCACGGCUAACUACGU